rnacentral:rRNA from 1 species
CUGGCCGUAAACGAUGGACAUUGGGUGUGGGUGAAGCAGUUCAUCCGUGCCGUAGCAAACGCGUUAAAUGUCCCGCCUGGGGACUACGGCCGCAAGGCUGAAACUCAAAGGAAUUGACGGGGGCCCGCACAAGCGGUGGAGCACGUGGUUUAAUUCGAUGCAAACCGAAGAACCUUACCUGGGUUUGACAUACAGGUGGUAAAAAGAUGAAAGUCAGCUGACCUUAGCUUGCUAAGGAGCCUGAACAGGUGC